GGUGGAGUGUUAGCAGCUGAACAGCCGCAGUGCUAUUUAAACUCGGGUCCUAAAAGACACAUUACUGUUGGACUGUCAGAGAGAGCAGACCACUUAUCUCUGGAAACAUGAUCAUUUUUAUCAUCAUCGGCGUCGUUGCAGUCAUCAUUCUGAUAUCCGUCUGUGUGUGCUGUGCUCGCAAGAAAUCUAGGAGUCAAGACCGUGGACAUGCUGACAAUCAUGAUCACUGUAGCAAUAGAGAAAUGGUGCAGAUUGUUCCUGUGUGAGUUUCUCAGCACUCUCUCGCACUCACACCCUACUACUACCAUACACAACUCUUCUGUUUCAUCUCAUCUCAGACUUUUGUCUCUCUCACAGGGUUACACCAUUUCAACCUGGGGUGAACAUGCCUGCUGCACCUGUAAUGCACCUUCAGGGUCAUCAUCCUGCCUAUGUUCUAUAAACCAAAAAAAACCCUUCUUAACCCUUGUGUGGUAUUCGGGUCUGUGACAUAUAUCAAAACACAUUUUCGAUAAACACACUCUGUACCAAGGGCUAAUAAACAUUGCUUCAUUUGUAAAUUUUAAACUAAA
rnacentral:lncRNA from 1 species